GGGGCUGAACGGUUUCGACUUUGAUCGUUCGAUUCAGGAGAAGCGGGUAGAGAACCCAAGGUCAUCUCUUAAACGACCCUUGGAAACUAUAAGUGCCGAUUCUAAGCGCACUGACUUCGCUCUCGCCGCUUAAGGCGACUAGUGGAGGGCCGGCCUGGGAAUGUCCUCGUCCCAGAUAACCGGUCUCAUUUAGGGGACUUGCUGAUCUAGCCUUGUUGCAGGGUUGGGUCGGGACUUUUUGCAACUGAGCCUGUCGGCGGCGUGUCUGCGCGAACGCCGGGGCUGAGAAAAGCGAUUAGCAGACUGCACCCGGAGAAGUCCUGUUUCAGCAUUAGAGGACGCGGGUUCGAUUCCCGCCAGCUCCACAA
rnacentral:tmRNA from 1 species